GCAAAUUGCGAAGUUAUAGCUUAAUGGGUAGAAAUGAAAGCCAAAGCCAUUUGCUUUUUAAUAGAUGCAACUGAUUCAAGAAUAUUUGUACUGGUUCAGGAUAGAAAGAAGCCAAAAAAAAAAAUUCAUGCUCUAGCAAAUGCAAGAUUAUAGAAGGGAAUAUGGUCGUGAAAUUGGGUUGUAUGUAGAAAUUUGCUUCGAGUGAAGCUCCUUGCUUCUAACCAAUUCUGUGCCCAUUAAAUUUUCAUCUUUGAUUCUUUUUCCUGUCAUCUUGUAGAGCAUCAUGUGAAACGACGUUUGUACUUGUGCGUAUUGAACUAAUAUUUCUUAUUUCCAAUUUUCCACCCCUAAUCAUUCGAGCA
rnacentral:misc_RNA from 1 species